ensembl:lncRNA
CGUCACUUCCUGUUAGCCGAAUGUUUUUUAGGAGUCUUGAGAAUCGUUGUGAGGCAAAAAAAGACGUGGUUUGGAAUAACGCAAAUAAUUGGGAAGACUGUUGGUGCGACUGUUGACUGCUAACAGCCAACUUAAGGUAAAACAUACUUACAGCACUCAUGGUACGAAUUUUAGAAGUAGUAGUAGAGAGAAUCAUUAUGUGAAGUUAGCUUGCACGCCAUUAUAUGUAUUAUUAUGUGUGAUAAUAAUAAGCUGAUAACGGUAACCACUCUUAUUGUAGAGCCAGAAGAAGAAACCUUGAAGACGUCCAGAUACACCGGAUCAAUAACAGAGUUCAAGUUGGAUACAUGUUGGAUAAACACCCAUGUAGUACGCAAAGACUGAAGGCCAGACAUGUCGGAGCAAGAUUUGGCUAAGCUUUACAAGGGAUUGAA